GAGUCUUCCGCAAUGCGCGCAAGCGUGACGGAGCGACGCCGCGUGCAGGAUGAAGCCCUUCGGGGUGUAAACUGCUGUCAGGGUGUAGAAACACAAUGAUCAGACCCAAAGGAAGAGGCGACUAACUCUGUGCCAGCAGUCGCGGUAAUACAGAGGCCUCGAGCGUUAAUCGGAAUCACUGGGCUUAAAGCGUACGUAGGCGGGCAUGCAGGCAUCUUGUGAAAUCCCCCGGCUCAACCGGGGAAUGGCUUGAUGAACCGCAUGUCUUGAGGCAAGUAGAGGCGGUCGGAACGCUAGGUGGAGCGGUGAAAUGCGUAGAUAUCUAGCGGAACGCCGAAGGUGAAAACAGGCCGCUGGGCUUGUUCUGACGCUGAGGUACGAAAGCGUGGGGAGCAAACGGG
rnacentral:rRNA from 1 species